rnacentral:rRNA from 1 species
AACGAACGCUGGCGGCAUGCCUAACACAUGCAAGUCGAACGAACCCUUCGGGGUUAGUGGCGCACGGGUGCGUAACACGUGGGAAUCUGCCCUUUGCUUCGGAAUAACAGUUAGAAAUGACUGCUAAUACCGGAUAAUGUCUUCGGACCAAAGAUUUAUCGGCAAAGGAUGAGCCCGCGUAGGAUUAGCUUGUUGGUGGGGUAAUGGCCUACCAAGGCUAAGACGCUUAGCUGGUCUGAGAGGAUGAUCAGCCACACUGGGACUGAGACACGGCCCAGACUCCUACGGGAGGCAGCAGUGGGGAAUAUUGGACAAUGGGCGCAAGCCUGAUCCAGCCACGCCGCGUGAGUGAUGAAGGCCUCGGUCGUAAGACGUCUGUGGGAGGGACGGAAGUAGGCGGCCGGUCGGAA